rnacentral:rRNA from 1 species
GAUGGAGGGACGGAGAAGGCUAGGCCAGCUUGGCGUUGGUUGUCCAAGUUUAAGGUGGUAGGCUGAGAUCUUAGGUAAAUCCGGGAUCUUAAGGCCGAGAGCUGAUGACGAGUUAACUUUUAGUUAACGAAGUGGUUGAUGCCAUGCUUCCAAGAAAAGCUUCUAAGCUUCAGGUAACCAGGAACCGUACCCCAAACCGACACAGGUGGUUGGGUAGAGAAUACCAAGGCGCUUGAGAGAACUCGGGUGAAGGAACUAGGCAAAAUGGCACCGUAACUUCGGGAGAAGGUGCGCCGGUGAGGGUGAAGGACUUGCUCCGUAAGCUCAUGCCGGUCGAAGAUACCAGGCCGCUGCGACUGUUUAUUAAAAACACAGCACUCUUCAAACACGAAAGUGGACGUAUAGGGUGUGACGCCUCCCCGGUGCCGGAAGGUUAAUUGAUGGGGUUAGCUAACGCGAAGCUCUUGAUCGAAGCCCCGGUAAACGGCGGCCGUAACGAUAACGGUCCUAAGGUAGCGAAAUUCCUUGUCGGGUAAGUUCCGACCUGCACGAAUGGCGUAACGAUGGCGGCGCUGUCUCCACCCGAGACUCAGUGAAAUUGAAAUCGCUGUGAAGAUGCAGUGUAUCCGCGGCUAGACGGAAAGACCCCGUGAACCUUUACUAUAGCUUUGCACUGGACUUUGAAUUUGCUUGUGUAGGAUAGGUGGGAGGCUUUGAAGUGUGGACGCCAGUCUGCAUGGAGCCAACCUUGAAAUACCACCCUGGCAACUUUGAGGUUCUAACUCAGGUCCGUUAUCCGGAUCGAGGACAGUGUAUGGUGGGUAGUUUGACUGGGGCGGUCUCCUCCUAAAGAGUAACGGAGGAGUACGAAGGUGCGCUCAGACCGGUCGGAAAUCGGUCGUAGAGUAUAAAGGCAAAAGCGCGCUUGACUGCGAGACAGACACGUCGAGCAGGUACGAAAGUAGGUCUUAGUGAUCCGGUGGUUCUGUAUGGAAGGGCCAUCGCUCAACGGAUAAAAGGUACUCCGGGGAUAACAGGCUGAUACCGCCCAAGAGUUCAUAUCGACGGCGGUGUUUGGCACCUCGAUGUCGGCUCAUCACAUCCUGGGGCUGAAGCCGGUCCCAAGGGUAUGGCUGUUCGCCAUUUAAAGUGGUACGCGAGCUGGGUUUAGAACGUCGUGAGACAGUUCGGUCCCUAUCUGCCGUGGACGUUUGAGAUUUGAGAGGGGCUGCUCCUAGUACGAGAGGACCGGAGUGGACGAACCUCUGGUGUUCCGGUUGUCACGCCAGUGGCAUUGCCGGGUAGCUAUGUUCGGAAUAGAUAACCGCUGAAAGCAUCUAAGCGGGAAACUAGCCUCAAGAUGAGAUCUCACUGGAACCUUGAGUUCCCUGAAGGGCCGUCGAAGACUACGACGUUGAUAGGUUGGGUGUGUAAGCGCUGUGAGGCGUUGAGCUAACCAAUACUAAUUGCCCGUGAGGCUUGACC